AAAUAUCAGGAGGGAAGGAGCCUGGCGUAUCUCAAUUGGAAGCUUAUUCCCAAGACUGGGGGCUACCACUUAAAAGAAAAUAACAGAUGGUCAGAAGAGCUCCAUAGAUAAGAACUCCCAAGUUUGGUAUCUGGCUGAGGAGAAAGAGUUGGAAGGUAAUUGAAGGCAGCAACCGCUCCCGAGCAAUCUCUAAGUGUUCCUAUGGAAGAGGCAUUAUGACUGUACACCCUCCACUUACUUCAUUCCUUUGUCUAAAUGGCAGCUUCUGUGAUGAACAAAGAAACAGUUUUCUGCUCUUCUUGUCACUGCCACGUCCAC